rnacentral:lncRNA from 1 species
UAGAAGGCUAAUUUAUUAUUUUAUGAUAUUAUAUUACAUUAAAGAAUGAUAUACUAGAACUAUACUAAACAAUAGAGUAAGGAUACUUACAGAAGGCUUAACAAGAUACUAAUGAAAAACCUGUGACUCUCUCCAGAGUCCUGACACAGCUGGCUGUGAUUGGUCAUUAUGUAAAAGCAAGUCACAUGAAACCAAUCAAAGAACCACCUGUUGGAUAAACAAUCUCCAAUCCACAUUCCAAAGCAGCAAAACACAGGAGAAGUGAAUCAGAUAAUUAUUGUUUUCAUUUUUCUCUGAGGCUUCUCAGGAGAAGAAAUCCUGGUGAAGGGAUUUUUCAGAAAAUAUGACAGUGACACAAUGGGAAAGGACAGCAGGAAGGAUGAUGACAGAGACCCUACAGGGUACAACAGGAAGAAGGAAGAGGAACACUCGGCAUCGUUUCUGGAGCAUUUUCAGGGGUGGCUGCUAAUGGUAAUGAUGAUGCUGAGCUCUCUCAUAAUUUUAUACUUUCAAAGAAAACAGUGAGAUCUCUGCUCUUAAGGUUGUCUUCAUGAAAAUGUCCACUGGAUGACUACGAUAAAGAAAUGAAGAAUGAACAGACAGAAAAGGUAAUAAUAAGAAAAAGUGAAUUUCUAACUAUAUGCAGAACUACAU